UACGUAGGGGGCAAGCGUUGUCCGGAUUUAUUGGACGUAAAGAGCGUGUAGGCGGCCAUACAGGUCCGUUGUGAAAACUGGAGGCUUAACCUCCAGACGUCGAUGGAAACCGUAUGGCUAGAGUCCGGAAGAGGAGAGUGGAAUUCCUGGUGUAGCGGUGAAAUGCGCAGAUAUCAGGAAGAACACCCGUGGCGAAGGCGGCUCUCUGGGACGGUACUGACGCUGAGACGCGAAAGCGUGGGGAGCGAACAGG
rnacentral:rRNA from 1 species